rnacentral:rRNA from 1 species
UAGUCCACGCCCUAAACGAUGAAUACUCGAUGUUGGCGAUAUACAGUCAGCGUCUAAGGGAAACCGAUAAGUAUUCCACCUGGGGAGUACGUCCGCAAGGAUGAAACUCAAAGAAAUUGGCGGGGGUCCGCACAAGCGGUGGAUUAUGUGGUUUAAUUCGAUGAUACGCGAGGAACCUUACCUAGGCUAUAAUGUGAGCGCUAUCUGGUGAAAGCCGGAGUUCCUUCGGGACGCGAAACAAGGUGCUGCAUGGUUGUCGUCAGCUCGUGCCGUGAGGUGUUGGGUUAAGUCCCGCAACGAGCGCAACCCCUAUUGUUAGUUGCCAGCGAGUAAUGUCGGGGACUCUAACGAGACUGCCCGCGUAAGCGGAGAGGAAGGUGGGGACGACGUCAAAUCAUCAUGGCCUUUAUGCCUAGGGCUACACACGUGCUACAAUGGCAGGUACAGAGGGUUGCGAAGGGGUGACCUGGAGCUAAUCUCAGAAAGCCUGUCCCAGUUCGGAUUGGAGUCUGCAAC